rnacentral:rRNA from 1 species
GACGAACGCUGGCGGCGUGCUUAACACAUGCAAGUCGAACGGAAAGGCCCUGCUUUUGUGGGGUGCUCGAGUGGCGAACGGGUGAGUAACACGUGAGUAACCUGCCCUUGACUUUGGGAUAACUUCAGGGAACUGGGGCUAAUACCGGAUAGGAGCUCCUGCUGCAUGGUGGGGGUUGGAAAGUUUCGGCGGUUGGGGAUGGACUCGCGGCUUAUCAGCUUGUUGGUGGGGUAGUGGCUUACCAAGGCUUUGACGGGUAGCCGGUCUGAGAGGGUGACCGGCCACAUUGGGACUGAGAUACGGCCCAGACUCCUACGGGAGGCAGCAGUGGGGAAUAUUGCACAAUGGGCGGAAGCCUGAUGCAGCAACGCCGCGUGCGGGAUGACGGCCUUCGGGUUGUAAACCGCUUUCGCCUGUGACGAAGCGUGAGUGACGGUAAUGGGUAAAGAAGCACCGGCUAACUACGUG